CCCCCGUUCAACGGCCGCGGUAGCCCGUGCUAAGGUAGCACAAUUACUCGCCUCCUAAUUAGAGGAAAGAAUGAAUGGAAAAACGAGAGCCCCGCUGUCUCAUCUUUAUUAAUAAAAAUUAUCCCUCGGACGAAGAGAUCCGAAUAAAAUAAAAAGACAAAAAGACCCUGUAGAGCUUCACUUUUACCAUAAAUCGUCGCUCCUAUUUAUAGACUAACUCGCAUUAUGAAAAAGUUUGGUUGGGGCAACCGGGGGCUCGCUAAACCGCCCCCUUAAUUUAUAGACUAAAUACGUCACACUUACGCACCGGACCCCACUUAGUCCCCUAACAAGCGCCAGCUACCUCAGGGAUAACAGGCCAAUCCUUCUUAAGAGUCCCUAUCGACAGAACGGGCUUGGUACCUCGAUGUUGGCUUAAGGUAAACCCCCAGAGCGCAGCCGC
rnacentral:rRNA from 1 species